rnacentral:rRNA from 1 species
UACGUAGGGCGCGAGCGUUGUCCGGAAUUAUUGGGCGUAAAGAGCUCGUAGGCGGCUUGUCACGUCGGGUGUGAAAGCCCGGGGCUUAACCCCCGGGUCUGCAUUCGAUACGGGCUAGCUAGAGUGUGGUAGGGGGAGAUCGGAAUUCCUGGUGUAGCGGUGAAAUGCGCAGAUAUCAGGAGGAACACCGGUGGCGAAGGCGGAUCUCUGGGCCAUUACUGACGCUGAGGAGCGAAAGCGUGGGGAGCGAACAGG